rnacentral:rRNA from 1 species
UUAUAGGGUCAAGCGACUAAGUGCAUGUGGUGGAUGCCUUGGCGACUACAGGCGAUGAAGGACGCGCAAGCCUGCGAUAAGGCUCGGGGAGCUGGCAAUGAAGCUUUGAUCCGGGCAUUUCCGAAUGGGGNNGAACCCACCCGCAAGGGUACUCCUGCUGAAUACAUAGGCAGGGUAGNNAGCGAACGCAGUGAACUGAAACAUCUAAGUAGCUGCAGGAAAAGAAAUCAACCGAGAUUCCCAUAGUAGUGGCGAGCGAAUUGGGAAGAGCCUUCAUGAUUUAGCAUUCUUGUUAGUGGAACAGUCUGGAAAGUCUGGCCAUAGUGGGUGAUAGCCCCGUACGCGAAAACAAGAGUGUGGAACUAGGCAUGAGACAAGUAGGGCGGGACACGUGAAAUCCUGUCUGAACAUGGGNGGACCAUCCUCCAAGGCUAAAUACUCGUAGUCGACCGAUAGUGAACCAGUACCGUGAGGGAAAGGCGAAAAGAACCCCGGGAGGGGAGUGAAAUAGAUCCUGAAACCGCAUGCAUACAAACAGUGGGAGCCCCUCCUUUAAUGGCCUUCGUUCUUUGUGAUCGACACGCAGUGGCGAUCACAAAAGAUUGUAAGAAGGAGUGAAAUAGCCGCUUACCUCGGAUGGGGUGAGGGCCAUUAAAGGAGGGGUGACUGCGUACCUUUGUAUAAUGGGUCAGCGACUUACGUUCAGUUGCGAGCUUAACCGAAUAGGGAGGCGAAGCGAAAGCGAGUCUUAAUAGGGCGCAUAGUAGCUGGGCGUAGACCCGAAACCGGAUGAUCUAUCCAUGGCCAGGAUGAAGGUGCGGUAACACGCACUGGAGGUCCGAACCCACUAAUGUUGAAAAAUUAGGGGAUGAGCUGUGGAUAGGGGUGAAAGGCUAAACAAAUCCGGAGAUAGCUGGUUCUCCUCGAAAGCUAUUUAGGUAGCGCCUCAUGUAUCACUCACGGGGUAGAGCACUGUAAUGUUAGUGGGGGCCAUUGCGGCUUACUGCGGCAUAGCAAACUCCGAAUACCGUGAAGUGCGAGCAUGGGAGACAGACAUCGGGUGCUAACGUCCGGUGUCAAGAGGGAAACAACCCAGACCGACAGCUAAGGUCCCAAAUGACGUGCUAAGUGGAAAACGAUGUGGGAAGGCAUAGACAGCUAGGAAGUUGGCUUAGAAGCAGCCAUCCUUUAAAGAAAGCGUAAUAGCUCACUAGUCGAGUCGUCCUGCGCGGAAGAUGUAACGGGGCUAAGCACGUAACCGAAGCUUCGGAUAUGCACUUUGUGCAUAUGGUAGAGGAGCGUUCUGUAAGUCUGCGAAGGUGUUCUGUAAGGAAUGCUGGANGAUAUCAGAAGUGCGAAUGCUGACAUGAGUAGCGAUAAAGGNGGUGAAAAGCCCCUCGCCGAAAANCCAAGGUUUCCUGCGCAACGUUCAUCGGCGCAGGGUGAGUCGGCCCCUAAGGUGAGGCAGAGAUGCGUAGCUGAUGGGAAACGGGUCAAAAUUCCCGUACUUUCGUUUACUGCGAUGNNUGGGGACGGAGAAGGUUAGGUGGGCCGGGUGUUGGAUGUCCCGGUUUAAGUGCGUAGGCAGAUCNNCCUUAGGCAAAUCCGGGGUUAAUGCCGAGACACGAUGACGGUGCUCCAUUGGAGCCGAAGUCACUGAUACCAAGCUUCNCAAGAAAAGCCACUAAGCUUCAGGUAAACGAGAACCGUACCGCAAACCGACACAGGUGGGUAGGAUGAGAAUUCUAAGGCGCUUGAGAGAACUCGGGUGAAGGAACUCGGCAAAUUAGCACCGUAACUUCGGGAGAAGGUGCGCCCCGGUAGGGUAUAAGUCCUCGCGACGAAAGCCCGAUGGGGUUGCAGUGAAAAGGUGGCUGCGACUGUUUAAUAAAAACACAGCACUCUGCAAACACGAAAGUGGACGUAUAGGGUGUGACGCCUGCCCGGUGCCGGAAGGUUAAUUGAUGGGGUGCAAGCUCUUGAUCGAAGCCCCGGUAAACGGCGGCCGUAACUAUAACGGUCCUAAGGUAGCGAAAUUCCUUGUCGGGUAAGUUCCGACCCGCACGAAUGGCGUAACGAUGGCCACACUGUCUCCACCCGAGACUCAGCGAAGUUGAAAUGUUUGUGAAGAUGCAAUCUCCCCGCGGCUAGACGGAAAGACCCCAUGAACCUUUACUGUAGCUUUGCAUUGGACUGUGACGGGACUUGUGUAGGAUAGCUGGGAGCCUGUGAAGCGUGGUCGCUAGAUCACGUGGAGGCGUCGUUGAAAUACCAGCCUGGUGUCGUUGCGGUUCUAACCUGGGCCCCUGAUCGGGGUCGGGGACCGUGCAUGGUGGGCAGUUUGACUGGGGCGGUCUCCUCCCAAAUUGUAACGGAGGAGUACGAAGGUCUUCUAGGUACGGUCGGACAUCGUACUGAUAGUGCAAUGGCAAAAGAAGGCUUGACUGCGAGACUGACACGUCGAGCAGGUGCGAAAGCAGGUCAUAGUGAUCCGGUGGUUCUGUAUGGAAGGGCCAUCGCUCAACGGAUAAAAGGUACUCUGGGGAUAACAGGCUGAUUCCUCCCAAGAGUUCAUAUCGACGGGGAGUNUUGGCACCUCGAUGUCGGCUCAUCACAUCCUGGGGCUGUAGCCGGUCCCAAGGGUAUGGCUGUUCGCCAUUUAAAGUGGUACGUGAGCUGGGUUUAAAACGUCGUGAGACAGUUUGGUCCCUAUCUGCCGUGGGCGCUGGAUAUUUGACGGGNGCUGCUCCUAGUACGAGAGGACCGGAGUGGACGUGCCUCUGGUGUACCGGUUAUGACGCCAGUCGUAUCGCCGGGUAGCUAAGCACGGAAGAGAUAAACGCUGAAAGCAUCUAAGCGUGAAACUUGCCUGAAGAUAAGAUAUCCCUGGCACCUUGAGUGCCCUGAAGGGUCGUUGAAGACCACAACGUUGAUAGGCGGGGUGUGGAAGCGCAGUAAUGCGUUAAGCUAACCCGUACUAAUUGCCCGUGAGGCUUGAUCCUAUAA